rnacentral:lncRNA from 1 species
GAACAAUGCUCCUUUCUUAUGGAGGUGUUUCUCCACAGCUGGUGUAGCAUACGCAGAAGCCCAGAGUGGUGCUGCAAAGUUCUUACAGGGCUCAUUAGAGCUGACCCGCUUCUCUGUUGUGUUUUCAGCUUCUGGAUAAUGGCAUCUUCAAACUCCUGCUAACAGCAGUGUGGUAGAAAUGUCUUCCCACUUCUGAAGCAUAGUUUUGGUCCCCUCCAAGCUUCAGCUUUGCUGGAGUGGCCAAGGCACCUUGAAGUAAGGGCGAACCUACGGUGACUGCUUUCUGUAACGCAUAUUUGCACAUCAGCUCUAACAUAAAACAAGUAUCUUCCCUGCCAGAUUUGUACUCUCCUGGUAAAGAGGAUACCCAGCAGUCUUUACUCAGGUUUGCUCUCAAGACAGAGGCCUCACAUCUCGGUCCACCAGCCAGGAAGAUGUUGGCCUUCAGCUUUUUGGGCAACUUUUGACCCUACCUCUGCACUCUGGAUGGGUUUUGGAUGUCCCUUUGAAUGCACUGCCUUUCAGCACAGAGCCACCAGAAGCUAAGCAGGCCAGGAAGAGGCCCACGUAAAGCACUGCUCACUGGGACGCAUGGAGAAAUCAAGGCCUCCGGACACUGUGCCUCCACCUCGGCUCCUGAAGGCAGGGUAAGCAGUUUGCAGCAUACAGAAAACAUAUGCUUCUUUUUGGUACUUAGAAGUGAUCAAAUGA